rnacentral:rRNA from 1 species
CCUACGGGCGGCAGCAGUGGGGAAUAUUGCACAAUGGGGGAAACCCUGAUGCAGCGACGCCGCGUGAGUGAAGAAGUAAUUCGUUAUGUAAAGCUCUAUCAGCAGGGAAGAAAAUGACGGUACCUGAGUAAGAAGCUCCGGCUAACUACGUGCCAGCAGCCGAGGUAAUACGUAGGGGGCAAGCGUUAUCCGGAUUUACCGGGUGUAAAGGGAGCGUAGACGGCAGUGCAAGUCUGGGGUGAAAGGCGGGGGCUCAACCCCCGGACUGCUCUGGAAACUGUACGGCUUGAGUGCAGGAGAGGUAAGUGGAAUUCCUAGUGUAGCGGUGAAAUGCGUAGAUAUUAGGAAGAACACCAGUGGCGAAGGCGGCUUACUGGACUGUAACUGACGUUGAGGCUCGAAAGCGUGGGGAGCAAACAGGAUUAGAUACCCGGGUAGUC